UACGUAGGGUGCGAGCGUUGUCCGGAAUUAUUGGGCGUAAAGGGCUCGUAGGCGGUUUGUCGCGUCGGGAGUGAAAACCUUGGGCUUAACUCAGGGCUUGCUUUCGAUACGGGCAGACUAGAGGUAUGCAGGGGAGAACGGAAUUCCUGGUGUAGCGGUGAAAUGCGCAGAUAUCAGGAGGAACACCGGUGGCGAAGGCGGUGCUCUGGGCAGGAACUGACGCUGAGGAGCGAAAGUGUGGGGAGCGAACAGG
rnacentral:rRNA from 1 species